rnacentral:rRNA from 1 species
GACGAACGCUGGCGGCGUGCUUAACACAUGCAAGUCGAACGGAAAGGCCCUGCUUUUGUGGGGUGCUCGAGUGGCGAACGGGUGAGUAACACGUGAGUAUCCUGCCCUUGACUUUGGGAUAACUUCAGGAAACUGGGGCUAAUACCGGAUAGGAGCUCCUGCUGCAUGGUGGGGGUUGGAAAGUUUCGGCGGUUGGGGAUGGACUCGCGGCUUAUCAGCUUGUUGGUGGGGUAGUGGCUUACCAAGGCUUUGACGGGUAGCCGGCCUGAGAGGGUGAACGGCGACAAUAGUACUGAGAGACGGCCCAGACUCCUACGGGAGGCAGCAGUGGGGAAUAUUGCGCAAUGGGCGGAAGCGUGAUGCAGCAACGCCGCGUGCGGGAUGACGGCCUUCGGGUUGAAAACCGAUGUCGCCUGUGACGAGGCGUGCGUGACGGUAAUGGGUAAAGAAGCACCGGCUAACUACGUG